UGGAUCUAGUGGCGCACGAGUGAGUAACGCGUGGGAAACUGCCCACUACUGGGGAAUAACGUUUGGAAACGAACGCUAAUACCGCAUACGCCGGAAACGGGAAAGAUUUAUCGGUGGUGGAUGUGCCCGCGUUGGAUUAGCUUGUUGGUGGGGUAACGGCCUACCAAGGCGAUGAUCCAUAGCUGGUCUGAGAGGACGAUCAGCCACGCUGGAACUGAGACACGGUCCAGACUCCUACGGGAGGCAGCAGCUAAGAAUAUUGGGCAAUGGAAGGAAACUCUGACCCAGCCAUGCCGCGUGAAUGAAAGAAGGCCUUCGGGUUGUAAAGUUCUUUUAGUAGUGAAGAUGAUGACAGUAGCUACAGAAAAAGCACCGGCUAACUUCGUG
rnacentral:rRNA from 1 species